rnacentral:rRNA from 2 species
GUAAUACUGUAUAAUCCCUGAGGGGGAAAGAUUUUAUCGCUAUUAGAUGAGCCUACAUUAGAUUAGCUAGUUGGUAAGGUAAUGGCUUACCAAGGCUAUGAUCUAUAGCUGGUCUGAGAGGACGAUCAGCCACACUGGAACUGAGAUACGGUCCAGACUCCUACGGGAGGCAGCAGUGGGGAAUAUUGGACAAUGGGCGCAAGCCUGAUCCAGCUAUGCCGCGUGAGUGAAGAAGGCCUUCGGGUUGUAAAGCUCUUUCAAUAGGGAAGAUAAUGACGGUAC